GGGGAAUUUUGCGCAAUGGGCGAAAGCCUGACGCAGCGACGCCGCGUGUGCGAUGAAGGCCUUUGGGUCGUAAAGCACUGUCGGACGGGACGAAAGCCAGUCGGCUAAUAGUCGGCUGGGUUGACGGUACCGUUAAAGGAAGCACCGGCUAACUCUGUGCCAGCAGCCGCGGUAAGACAGAGGGUGCAAACGUUGCUCGGAUUUAUUGGGCGUAAAGCGCGUGUAGGCGGCUUGUUAAGUCGACUGUGAAAGCCCUUGGCUCAACCAAGGAAGUGCAGUUGAUACUGGCGAGCUGGAGUCCCGAAGAGGAUGGCGGAAUGCUCAGUGUAGAGGUGAAAUUCGUAGAUAUUGGGCAGAACACCGGUGGCGAAGGCGGCCAUCUGGGAGGGGACUGACGCUGAGACGCGAAGGCGUGGGGAUCAAAC
rnacentral:rRNA from 1 species